UACGGGGGGGGCAAGCGUUGUUCGGAAUUACUGGGCGUAAAGGGCUUGUAGGUGGCCAACUAAGUCAGACGUGAAAUCCCUCGGCUUAACCGGGGAACUGCGUCUGAUACUGGAUGGCUUGAGUUUGGGAGAGGGAUGCGGAAUUCCAGGUGUAGCGGUGAAAUGCGUAGAUAUCUGGAGGAACACCGGUGGCGAAGGCGGGUCUCUGGGCCGAUAUUGACGCUGAGGAGCGAAAGCGUGGGGAGCGAACAGG
rnacentral:rRNA from 1 species